AGUCGAGGGGUAUAGGUUUUCGGAUCUAGAGACCGGCGCACGGGUGCGUAACGCGUAUGCAAUCUACCUUUUGCAGAGGGAUAGCCCAGAGAAAUUUGGAUUAAUACCUCAUAGUAUGCAGAGUUGGCAUCAACACUGCAUUAAAGUCACAACGGCAAAAGAUGAGCAUGCGUCCCAUUAGCUAGUUGGUAAGGUAACGGCUUACCAAGGCUACGAUGGGUAGGGGUCCUGAGAGGGAGAUCCCCCACACUGGUACUGAGACACGGACCAGACUCCUACGGGAGGCAGCAGUGAGGAAUAUUGGACAAUGGGCGCAAGCCUGAUCCAGCCAUGCCGCGUGCAGGAUGACGGUCCUAUGGAUUGUAAACUGCUUUUGCACAGGAAGAAACAACGCUACGUGUAGCGUCUUGACGGUACUGUGAGAAUAAGGAUCGGCUAACUCCGUGCCAGCAGCCGCGGUAAUACGGAGGAUCCAAGCGUUAUCCGGAAUCAUUGGGUUUAAAGGGUCCGUAGGCGGUUUAGUAAGUCAGUGGUGAAAGCCCAUCGCUCAACGGUGGAACGGCCAUUGAUACUGCUAAACUUGAAUUAUUAGGAAGUAACUAGAAUAUGUAGUGUAGCGGUGAAAUGCUUAGAGAUUACAUGGAAUACCAAUUGCGAAGGCAGGUUACUACUAAUGGAUUGACGCUGAUGGACGAAAGCGUGGGUAGCGAACAGGAUUAGAUACCCUGGUAGUCCACGCCGUAAACGAUGGAUACUAGCUGUUGGGAGCGAUCUCAGUGGCUAAGCGAAAGUGAUAAGUAUCCCACCUGGGGAGUACGUUCGCA
rnacentral:rRNA from 1 species